rnacentral:tRNA from 1 species
GGUAUUACGCCGGCAGAACGGAUUACAUUGAUGUUGUAAAUUAAGAGAAAUUAUCUCUAAUACCU